UACGGGGGGUGCGAGCGUUGUCCGGAAUUACUGGGCGUAAAGGGCUCGUAGGCGGCCAACUAAGUCAGACGUGAAAUCCCUCGGCUUAACCGGGGAACUGCGUCUGAUACUGGAUGGCUUGAGUUCGGGAGAGGGAUGCGGAAUUCCGAGGUGUAGCGGUGAAAUGCGUAGAUAUCUGGAGGAACACCGGUGGCGAAGGCGGCAUCCUGGACCGACACUGACACUGAGGAGCGAAAGCCAGGGGAGCAAACGGGA
rnacentral:rRNA from 1 species